rnacentral:rRNA from 1 species
GGUUGAAGGUUGGGUAACACUAACUGGAGGACCGAACCGACUAAUGUUGAAAAAUUAGCGGAUGACUUGUGGCUGGGGGUGAAAGGCCAAUCAAACCGGGAGAUAGCUGGUUCUCCCCGAAAGCUAUUUAGGUAGCGCCUCGUGAAUUCAUCUCCGGGGGUAGAGCACUGUUUCGGCAAGGGGGUCAUCCCGACUUACCAACCCGAUGCAAACUGCGAAUACCGGAGAAUGUUAUCACGGGAGACACACGGCGGGUGCUAACGUCCGUCGUGAAGAGGGAAACAACCCAGACCGCCAGCUAAGGUCCCAAAGUCAUGGUUAAGUGGGAAACGAUGUGGGAAGGCCCAGACAGCCAGGAUGUUGGCUUAGAAGCAGCCAUCAUUUAAAGAAAGCGUAAUAGCUCACUGGUCGAGUCGGCCUGCGCGGAAGAUGUAACGGGGCUAAACCAUGCACCGAAGCUGCGGCAGCGACACUGUGUGUUGUUGGGUAGGGGAGCGUUCUGUAAGCCUGUGAAGGUGUGCUGUGAGGCAUGCUGGAGGUAUCAGAAGUGCGAAUGCUGACAUAAGUAACGAUAAAGCGGGUGAAAAGCCCGCUCGCCGGAAGACCAAGGGUUCCUGUCCAACGUUAAUCGGGGCAGGGUGAGUCGACCCCUAAGGCGAGGCCGAAAGGCGUAGUCGAUGGGAAACAGGUUAAUAUUCCUGUACUUGGUGUUACUGCGAAGGGGGGACGGAGAAGGCUAUGUUGGCCGGGCGACGGUUGUCCCGGUUUAAGCGUGUAGGCUGGUUUUCCAGGCAAAUCCGGAAAAUCAAGGCUGAGGCGUGAUGACGAGGCACUACGGUGCUGAAGCAACAAAUGCCCUGCUUCCAGGAAAAGCCUCUAAGCAUCAGGUAACAUCAAAUCGUACCCCAAACCGACACAGGUGGUCAGGUAGAGAAUACCAAGGCGCUUGAGAGAACUCGGGUGAAGGAACUAGGCAAAAUGGUGCCGUAACUUCGGGAGAAGGCACGCUGAUAUGUAGGUGAAGUCCCUCGCGGAUGGAGCUGAAAUCAGUCGAAGAUACCAGCUGGCUGCAACUGUUUAUUAAAAACACAGCACUGUGCAAACACGAAAGUGGACGUAUACGGUGUGACGCCUGCCCGGUGCCGGAAGGUUAAUUGAUGGGGUCAGCGCAAGCGAAGCUCUUGAUCGAAGCCCCGGUAAACGGCGGCCGUAACUAUAACGGUCCUAAGGUAGCGAAAUUCCUUGUCGGGUAAGUUCCGACCUGCACGAAUGGCGUAAUGAUGGCCAGGCUGUCUCCACCCGAGACUCAGUGAAAUUGAACUCGCUGUGAAGAUGCAGUGUACCCGCGGCAAGACGGAAAGACCCCGUGAACCUUUACUAUAGCUUGACACUGAACAUUGAGCCUUGAUGUGUAGGAUAGGUGGGAGGCUUUGAAGUGUGGACGCCAGUCUGCAUGGAGCCGACCUUGAAAUACCACCCUUUAAUGUUUGAUGUUCUAACGUGGACCCGUGAUCCGGGUUGCGGACAGUGUCUGGUGGGUAGUUUGACUGGGGCGGUCUCCUCCUAAAGAGUAACGGAGGAGCACGAAGGUUGGCUAAUCCUGGUCGGACAUCAGGAGGUUAGUGCAAUGGCAUAAGCCAGCUUGACUGCGAGCGUGACGGCGCGAGCAGGUGCGAAAGCAGGUCAUAGUGAUCCGGUGGUUCUGAAUGGAAGGGCCAUCGCUCAACGGAUAAAAGGUACUCCGGGGAUAACAGGCUGAUACCGCCCAAGAGUUCAUAUCGACGGCGGUGUUUGGCACCUCGAUGUCGGCUCAUCACAUCCUGGGGCUGAAGUAGGUCCCAAGGGUAUGGCUGUUCGCCAUUUAAAGUGGUACGCGAGCUGGGUUUAGAACGUCGUGAGACAGUUCGGUCCCUAUCUGCCGUGGGCGCUGGAGAACUGAGGGGGGCUGCUCCUAGUACGAGAGGACCGGAGUGGACGCAUCACUGGUGUUCGGGUUGUCAUGCCAAUGGCACUGCCCGGUAGCUAAAUGCGGAAGAGAUAAGUGCUGAAAGCAUCUAAGCACGAAACUUGCCCCGAGAUGAGUUCUCCCUGACCCUUUAAGGGUCCUGAAGGAACGUUGAAGACGACGACGUUGAUAGGCCGGGUGUGUAAGCGCAGCGAUGCGUUGAGCUAACCGGUACUAAUGAACCGUGAGGCUUAACCUU